rnacentral:rRNA from 1 species
AGGACGAACGCUGGCGGCGUGCUUAACACAUGCAAGUCGAGCGGAAAGGCCCUUCGGGGUACUCGAGCGGCGAACGGGUGAGUAACACGUGGGUAAUCUGCCCAUCGCUUCAGGAUAGCCAUCGGAAACGGUGAUUAAUACUGGAUAUGACAUUCCUUCGCAUGGUUGGGGUGUGGUAAAGUUUUUUCGGCGGUGGAUGUGCUCGCGGCCUAUCAGCUUGUUGGUGGGUAAUGGCCUACCAAGGCUUUGACGGGUA